rnacentral:rRNA from 1 species
AGUGAACGCUGGCGGUAGACCUAACACAUGCAAGUCGAACGGCAGCACAGUAAGAGCUUGCUCUUACGGGUGGCGAGUGGCGGACGGGUGAGGAAUACAUCGGAAUCUACUUUUUCGUGGGGGAUAACGUAGGGAAACUUACGCUAAUACCGCAUACGACCUACGGGUGAAAGCAGGGGAUCUUCGGACCUUGCGCGAUUGAAUGAGCCGAUGUCGGAUUAGCUAGUUGGCGGGGUAAAGGCCCACCAAGGCGACGAUCCGUAGCUGGUCUGAGAGGAUGAUCAGCCACACUGGAACUGAGACACGGUCCAGACUCCUACGGGAGGCAGCAGUGGGGAAUAUUGGACAAUGGGCACAAGCCUGAUCCAGCCAUACCGCGUGGGUGAAGAAGGCCUUCGGGUUGUAAAGCCCUUUUGUUGGGAAAGAAAAGCAGCAGGUUAAUACCCCGCUGUUCUGACGGUACCCAAAGAAUAAGCACCGGCUAACUUCGUG